rnacentral:rRNA from 1 species
CCUACGGGAGGCUGCAGUGGGGAAUAUUGGGCAAUGGAGGAAACUCUGACCCAGCAAUGUCGCGUGAAUGAAGAAGGUCCUAGGAGUGUAAAGCUCCUUAGUCAGGGAAGAAGUCAAUGCCGCUACCUGAAGAAUAAGCUCCGCCUAACUACGUGCCAGCAGCCGCGGUAAUACGUAGGGAGCAAGCGUUGUUCGGAAUGACUGGUCGUAAAGGGUGCGUAGGCGGUUGUACAAGUUAGAAGUGAAAUACCCAGGGCUUAACUCGGGUGCUGGUUCUAAAACUGUAUGACUUGAGGGGAGUAGAGGUUAGUGGAAAUCCGAGGGGAGCGGUUGAAUGCGAGGAAAUUAGGGGGAACACCAGAGGCGAAGGCGACUAACUGGACUGCCACUGACGGUGAGGGACGAAAGUGUGGGGAGCAAACAGGAUUAGAUACCCCUUGUAGUC